rfam:Schistosoma haematobium scaffold1468_3, whole genome shotgun sequence.
AUCCAGCUGACGAGUCUCAAGCGGGACGAAAAGCGUGUCCUGGAU